CAGUAGCCGCGGUAAUACGAAGGGGGCUAGCGUUGUUCGGAUCUACUGGGCGUAAAGGGCGCGUAGGCGGGCGAAUAAGUCAGGGGUGAAAUCCCAAGGCUCAACCUUGGAACUGCCUUUGAUACUGUUUGUCUUGAGUUCGAGAGAGGUAAGUGGAACUGCGAGUGUAGAGGUGAAAUUCGUAGAUAUUCGCAAGAACACCAGUGGCGAAGGCGGCUUACUGGCUCGAAACUGACGCUGAGGCGCGAAAGCGUGGGGAGCAAACAGGAUUAGAUACCCCUGUAGUCCCUGUCUCUUAUAC
rnacentral:rRNA from 1 species